rnacentral:lncRNA from 10 species
AUGCUACAUUUGUCACAAUGCUACAUGUCAUGGGCUGCUAGCAUGCUGGUCUGGCAGUGAGAUGUGUGUGCCCAUGUGAUUGUGUCCUGACGCUGGGAUCGUAUAUGUGUCAGAGUGAUGUUGUGUUGGGGGAAGAUCUGUGAAGGUGCUAUGUCACUGGGGGAAGAUGUGCAUACAUACUACUGUUAUUGUGUGUGCCUGGACAAUGCGUCUGAAAUGCAUAUCUGUGGGACUGUGUAUCACCGACAGUAUGUGCA